rnacentral:rRNA from 1 species
GAUGAACGCUGGCGGCGUGCCUAAUACAUGCAAGUCGAGCGAACAGACGAGGAGCUUGCUCCUCUGACGUUAGCGGCGGACGGGUGAGUAACACGUGGAUAACCUACCUAUAAGACUGGGAUAACUUCGGGAAACCGGAGCUAAUACCGGAUAAUAUAUUGAACCGCAUGGUUCAAUAGUGAAAGACGGUUUUGCUGUCACUUAUAGAUGGAUCCGCGCCGCAUUAGCUAGCUGGUAAGGUAACGGCUUACCAAGGCAACGAUGCGUAGCCGACCUGAGAGGGUGAUCGGCCAUACUGGAACUGAGACACGGUCCAGACUCCUACGGGAGGCAGCAGUAGGGAAUCUUCCGCAAUGGGCGAAAGCCUGACGGAGCAACGCCGCGUGAGUGAUGAAGGUCUUCGGAUCGUAAAACUCUGUUAUUAGGGAAGAACAAAUGUGUAAGUAACUAUGCACGUCUUGACGGUACCUAAUCAGAAAGCCACGGCUAACUACGUG